GUGGGGAAUUUUGGACAAUGGGGGCAACCCUGAUCCAGCCAUGCCGCGUGCGGGAAGAAGGCCUUCGGGUUGUAAACCGCUUUUGUCAGGGAAGAAAUCCUUUGGGUUAAUACCUCGGAGGGAUGACGGUACCUGAAGAAUAAGCACCGGCUAACUACGUGCCAGCAGCCGCGGUAAUACGUAGGGUGCGAGCGUUAAUCGGAAUUACUGGGCGUAAAGCGUGCGCAGGCGGUUUUGUAAGAUCGAUGUGAAAUCCCCGGGCUCAACCUGGGAACUGCAGUGGUGACUGCAAGGCUGGAGUGCGGCAGAGGGGGAUGGAAUUCCGCGUGUAGCAGUGAAAUGCGUAGAUAUGCGGAGGAACACCGAUGGCGAAGGCAAUCCCCUGGGCCUGCACUGACGCUCAUGCACGAAAGCGUGGGGAGCAAACAGGAUUAGAAACCCGGGUAGUC
rnacentral:rRNA from 1 species